GAUGAAGAACGUAGCGAAAUGCGAUAAGUAAUGUGAAUUGCAGAAUUCAGUGAAUCAUCGAAUCUUUGAACGCAUCUUGCGCUCCUUGGUAUUCCGAGGAGCAUGCCUGUUUGAGUGUCAUUUAAAUUCUCAACCACACCAGAUUUCUUUCUGAUGUGGCUUGGAUGUGGGGGUUUUGCUGGCUUUUUAUACAUUGAAGUCGGCUCCCCUAAAAUGAAUUAGUAGUAUCUGAGCAGAGAAAGUACUACAGGUGUGAUAAAUUAUCUAUGCCUCUAGUAUGCUGCAUGAAACAGAUUGUGCUGCUUCUAAAAAAAUAUUUGAUUGAUGAAUUUGACCUCAAAUCAGGUAGGACUACCCGCUGAACUUAAGCAUAUCAAUAAGCGGAGGA
rnacentral:misc_RNA from 1 species